UACUAAUAGAAAGGAGCAAAACCCCCUCGUCUCCAAGCAAACAAUCCUCCUCGCGAUCAAAUGGGUUCCAACAAGGCGUUUUUUAUAUUUGCUCUUGUUCUUCUCAUCAUCUCCUCUGAGAUAGCAGCACGAGACCUCCUCGACCACACUUCUACUCAUGCCAAGAAGAAAGAGUAUGGUGGAUAUGAAAGAAAGCUUACUAGUGGUAAGGGUGAGCCCACUACAAGAUGCGCCCUAAAUCCAAACCAGCCUUGCUACCCACCACCAAGAUGCCCACCAUAUAUCAGAACCUGUCGUCACCCAUGAAAGAAGCUGCGCUCCUUCAGAUCAUGAUCAACAACCAAUACUUAUAGGCCGAUCGAUGCUUGAAGUUAUUGAUUCCUCUCUUUUGUUGCUUCCCUUGCCUUAAAUAGAACAUGUAGUACGUACGUGCUGUAACUUUCAUCGAAUAAAAGCUCGAUCAAUAUGUAAAAACCUCUCCAAAUCUUCGAUCUGGAGACUCUGGUCGGGCUAAUAUUUCUGUAAAAUCGCAUGGUAAAAAGCAGUAGUUGUUCAUGUUCUUUCCA